AAUGACACCUCGUGGCUUCAAAUCAGGAAGGUAAUUUAAUGAGGAAAUAAGACAGACGGCGGACUUUUUUCGGAAUUCCUUUAAUUCUUAUCUUUACUAGCUUCCGUUAAUUAAUAUAAAAACUUGCAUGCUUUGUAUAUAAAAAGAAGCAUUAUGUUAGAAUCCGAAAAACCUUCAAGAGCAUCAACAAUUCACCCUUUUUGAUCGAAAUCGGACAUAGAAUUUGACGUACGGAAUGGAGGUUUUGAUUUUGCUUUUCUGUUUCAUGAUAGAAGGCUCUGCCGCUUCUAUGUGCGAUCAGAUAACAUGCGACAAUGCCCCCUUGAAAGAAUUAUCUAAGCGAAAUUACACAUUGAAUGAAACCCAGCUGACACGUUUAUGUCCACCAACCUUGGAGCUCUUUAACUGUUACUCCAAAUUUGCCAGGGAUUGCUUUGAAAUGGAACUUGAAGAAUUAGCAGCAAGUAAUGAUCCAUACGCUAAAGUUAUUGCAACCAAAGUUUUGCAAGCUAAAAAUCUGGUUAUUGAAAUGUGCGAUGAACAUUCAACUUUACGCAAAGAUUAUCUAGAAAAUGUGGUUGCUUUACGCGUAUGAUUGAUAAUGUCUCUUUCAUCUGUUCAGAAAAGGCCGCCGAACACGCUGUUGCAUUUUGAAAAAAAUUUCAUGAUUUAAAAGAAGGAGGACGCAUUGAUUUUUCGCAACGACGCUGCUUAGAAACAGUGUAUUCAAUCGCUUGCUUGGCCGAACAGUUGGAGAGGACGUGUGGUGAAGUUGCGAGAAGAACAUUCCUGACUCUUCUCGAAAAGGUCAAAAGUGUUAUACGUGAAGAAAGUAUUGUUGAAGACCCUCUGAGUUUUAAACGAUCAUUUCUUGAGUACUUGGAAUUGGAAGACAAGAUAUCCGAGCUUUACAGAUUUGUAUUUGAAACAUUCAGAAUGCACUAUUGAGUAUUUUGCUGAAAAUGUUUUGAAGAGAUUAAAAUGAAUUUUGAAGUACUUUAAUAAUUGUAUUAUUAAAGUAUUGUUGAAGACCCUCUGAGUUUUAAACGAUCAUUUCUUGAGUACUUGGAAUUGGAAGACAAGAUAUCCGAGCUUUACAGAUUUGUAUUUGAAACAUUCAGAAUGCACUAUUGAGUAUUUUGCUGAAAAUGUUUUGAAGAGAUUAAAAUGAAUUUUGAAGUACUUUAAUAAUGCUAGAAUUCUAUUUAAAGAUUUUCACUUAGAAUAAUGUUAAUUGAAUUUACUCUCUAAAUGUAAUAAUAAAAAUUAGAAGGAAUUUAUAAGUUAAAUAAAAAAGAAAAGAUAUUUUCA